rnacentral:tRNA from 1 species
GCCCGGAUACUCAAGUCGGUAGAGCAUCAGACUUUUAAUCUGAGGGUCCAGGGUUCGAGCCCCUGUUCGGGCG